rnacentral:rRNA from 1 species
UACGUAGGGUGCGAGCGUUGUCCGGAAUUAUUGGGCGUAAAGGGCUCGUAGGCGGUUUGUCGCGUCGGGAGUGAAAACACCGGGCUUAACUCGGUGCUUGCUUUCGAUACGGGCAGACUAGAGGCAUGCAGGGGAGAACGGAAUUCCUGGUGUAGCGGUGAAAUGCGCAGAUAUCAGGAGGAACACCGGUGGCGAAGGCGGGUCUCUGGGCCGGUACCGACGCUGAGGAGCGAAAGCGUGGGGAGCGAACAGG